UACGAAGGGUGCAAGCGUUACUCGGAAUUACUGGGCGUAAAGCGUGCGCAGGCGGUUCGCUGUGUCCGAUGUGAAAGCCCCGGGCUUAACCUGGGAAUGGCAUUGGAAACUGGCGGGCUUGAGUGCGGCAGAGGGGGGUGGAAUUCCGCGUGUAGCAGUGAAAUGCGUAGAGAUGCGGAGGAACACCGAUGGCGAAGGCAGCCCCCUGGGUCGACACUGACGCUCAGGCACGAAAGCGUGGGGAGCAAACAGG
rnacentral:rRNA from 1 species